rnacentral:rRNA from 1 species
UACGUAGGCAGCGAGCGUUGUUCGGAAUUACUGGGCGUAAAGAGUGUGUAGGCGGUGCUCCCAGUCUGUUGUGAAAUCUCCCGGCUUAACUGGGAGGGUGCAGCGGAAACUAGAGUGCUAGAGGGUGGGAGAGGUAAGCGGAAUUCCUGGUGUAGCGGUGAAAUGCGUAGAUAUCAGGAGGAACACCGAUGGCGAAGGCAGGUCUCUGGGCCACUACUGACGCUGAGAAGCGAAAGCAUGGGGAGCGAACAGG